AUUGAACGCUGGCGGCAGGCCUAACACAUGCAAGUCGAACGCGUGGCGGACGGGUGAGUAAUAUCUGGGUGACUGCCUGAUGGAGGGGGAUAACUACUGGAAACGGUAGCUAAUACCGCAUACCAUCAGAUGUGCCCAGAUGGGAUUAGCUAGGUGGUGGGGUAACGGCUCACCAAGGCGACGAUCCCUAGCUGGUCUGAGAGGAUGACCAGCCCCACUGUAACUGAGACACGGUCCAGACUCCUACGGGAGGCAGCAGGGGGGAAUAUUGCACAAUGGGCGCAAGCCUGAUGGAGCCAUGCCGCGUGUAUGAAGAAGGCAUUCGGGUUGUAAAGUACUUUCAGCGGGGAGGCGUUACCCGCAGAAGAAGCACCGGCUAACUCCGUGCCAGCAGCCGCGGUAAUAC
rnacentral:rRNA from 1 species